GUGAGGAAUAUUGCGCAAUGGAGGCAACUCUGACGCAGCCAUGCCGCGUGCAGGAAGAAGGCGCUACGCGUUGUAAACUGCUUUUAACCGGGAAGAAACCCCAGGACGUGUCCUGGGUUGACGGUACCGGAGGAAUAAGCACCGGCUAACUUCGUGCCAGCAGCCGCGGUAAUACGAAGGGUGCAAGCGUUAUCCGGAUUCAUUGGGUUUAAAGGGUGCGUAGGCGGAGCGUUAAGUCAGUGGUGAAAUGCUGCAGCUUAACUGUAGACUUGCCAUUGAUACUGGCGCUCUUGAGUGCGCUUGAAGUGGGCGGAAUGUGCCGUGUAGCGGUGAAAUGCUUAGAUAUGGCACAGAACACCAAUUGCGAAGGCAGCUCACUAAGGCGAUACUGACGCUGAGGCACGAAAGCGUGGGGAUCGAACAGGAUUAGAUACCCGAGUAGUCC
rnacentral:rRNA from 1 species